GGCGGAGUUCAAGCAAUCCUACGGCGGCGCUGAUGGCGGAGCACGUUGAAGAGCCGGAGGUUGUGGUGCAGGAUCGGGAGUCCCUUCUGGGCAAGAUCUCGGAGAAGAUCCACGGCCACGAUUCGUCUUCGUCGUCUUCCUCCGAUUCGGAGGAUGAGAAGAAGCCGGAGGUGUCCGCGGCGGCGGAGAUCAAGUCGAAGAUCUUCCGCAUUUUUGGAAGGGAGAAGCCGAUUCAUCAUGUGUUUGGCGGCGGAAAACCUGCUGAUAUAUUCCUAUGGAGGGAUAAGAAAGUCUCUGCUGGUGUGCUUGGUGGUGUAACGGCCAUUUGGGUCCUGUUUGAUCUGCUGGACUACCACCUGCUCACUCUGGUGUGCCACUGCCUCAUCCUUAUGCUGGCCAUCCUGUUUCUCUGGUCCAAUGCUACCACUUUCAUCAACAAGUCUCCACCACACAUUCCUGAAGUGAGCAUCCCGGAAGAUCUAACUGUCCAGAUUGCCCUUUCUCUGCGAUACUAUAUCAAUCGUGGGUUUGCUCUUCUUAGGGAGGUUGCCUCCGGUCGUGAUCUGAAGAAAUUCCUCGCAGUCAUUGCAGGCUUGUGGUUGCUCUCAAUCAUUGGAAGCUGCUGCAAUUUCUUGACCUUGUUCUACAUAGCAUUUGUGUCACUGCACUCUAUUCCCCUACUGUAUGAGAAGUAUGAGGAUCAGGUGGACUCUUUUGCGGAGAAGGCAACAGCUGAGUUCAAGAAGCAUUAUGCAGUGAUCCAUGCCAAGUAUAUAAGCAAAAUUCCGGUGGCAUCUUACAAGGGAAAGAAGCUGCUUUAGAGAAUGAAAAAUACUUAUUAGAUGUCUUACUUCUGUUGAAGUGUUGGUCUUUCAGCAUGGCAGACUCUAGUUAUAUGUGGUAGGGUCAAUUCGAAGUUUUUUUUGGAUGUGGAUCUUGUUUAUGUUGCAUUACAAUCAUUUUCUAGUAUUGUGGAACUUACUGUAUUGCUUUUGUUGGG
rnacentral:misc_RNA from 1 species